UACGAGGGGUGCAAGCGUUGCUCGGAAUUAUUGGGCGUAAAGGGUAGGUAGGUGGUCUCAUUUGUCAGGGGUGAAAGCCUUGAGCUUAACUCAAGAAGUGCCCCUGAAACGGUGAGACUGGAGUCCUGGAGAGGGUCGUGGAAUUCCCGGUGUAGCGGUGAAAUGCGUAGAGAUCGGGAGAAACACCAGAGGCGAAGGCGGCGACCUGGACAGGUACUGACACUCAACUACGAAAGCGUGGGGAGCAAACAGG
rnacentral:rRNA from 1 species